CCUAAGCCUGACAUCCUUUUCGACCCGAUGCCUAAUCGCAUCUUUUCCCUUCGGGGACAGAAGUGACAGGUGGCUGCAUGGUUGUCGUCAGCUCGUGUCGUGAGAUGUUGGGUUAAGUCCCGCAACGAGCGCAACCCUUGCCUUUAGUUGCCAGCAUUAAGUUGGGCACUCUAGAGGGACUGCCAGGGAUAACCUGGAGGAAGGUGGGGAUGACGUCAAAUCAUCAUGCCCCUUAUGCUUAGGGCUACACACGUGCUACAAUGGGUGGUACAGAGGGCAGCCAAGUCGUGAGGCGGAGCUAAUCCCUUAAAGCCAUUCUCAGUUCGGAUUGUAGGCUGAAACUCGCCUACAUGAAGCUGGAGUUACUAGUAAUCGCAGAUCAGAUGCUGCGGUGAAUGCGUUCCCGGGUCUUGUAGACACCGCCCGUCACACCACGGGAGUUGGGGGCGCCCGAAGCCGGAUUGCUAACCUUUUGGAAGCGUCCGUCGAAGGUGAAAUCAAUAUUAGGGUGAAGU
rnacentral:rRNA from 1 species